rnacentral:rRNA from 1 species
GCUUAGAGAGGGGUCAAUGUCCUAUCAGCUAGUUGGUAAGGUAAUGGCUUACCAAGGCUAAGACGGGUAGCCGGCCUGAGAGGGUGGUCGGCCACACUGGGACUGAGACACUGCCCAGACUCCUACGGGAGGCUGCAGUCGAGAAUCUUUCGCAAUGCCCGAAAGGGUGACGAAGCGACGCCGCGUGCGGGAAGAAGGCCUUCGGGUUGUAAACCACUGUCGGGAGUUAAGAAAUGUAAGGGUGUUAAUAGCAUCCUUACUUGACUAAGGCUCCGGAGGAAGCCACGGCUAACUCUGUGCCAGCAGCCGCGGUAAUACAGAGGCGGCAAGCGUUGUUCGGAAUUAUUGGGCGUAAAGAGCACGUAGGCGGCUUUGUAAGUCAGUUGUGAAAGCCUUCCGCUUAACGGAAGAACAGCAUCUGAUACUGCAAGGCUAGAGUGCGGAAGGG